AGUCGUACCGUAAACCGCAGCAGGUGGAUAGGAGUAUAGUGCUCCAAGGCAGACAAGAGAGAACCGCGCUAAAGGAACUCGGCAAAAUGCUUUCGUACUUAUCGACAAGAAAGGCCACGAAGGUCUCAGACAAUAGCUGGCAACGACUGUUUAACAAAAACACAAGGCUCUGCGAAGAAGGUUCGAAGUAAAGGGCCUGACAUCUGCCCAACGGCGAAGGCAAACGGCGGCUGUAACUCUAACGGUCAUAAUGUAGCAAAAUCCCUUGACAUUUAAUUGGUGUCGCGCAUGAAUGAUGGAACGAUUGCCAGGCUGUCUCUAGCGCGGACUCUGUGAAAUUGAAUUCUUUGUGCAGAUGCGAAGGAGCGUGGGUGGGACGAUAAGACCCUAUGCAUCUUAACAGUAUCGUUGCUCUUGUAGUCUGGGUAGGAGCCCGGAAUUAGUUCUUGUGGGGCCAAUUAGAGAAGCAGCAAGAGCGUUGCAUGGCUAGGAAAUCCCCUAAGCAGAAGGGAGCAGUAAGUCCU
rnacentral:rRNA from 1 species